CCUACGGGGGGCAGCAGUGAGGAAUAUUGGUCAAUGGACGAGAGUCUGAACCAGCCAAGUAGCGUGAAGGAUGACUGCCCUAUGGGUUGUAAACUUCUUUUAUAUGGGAAUAAAAUGUUCCACGUGUGGGAUUUUGUAUGUACCAUAUGAAUAAGGAUCGGCUAACUCCGUGCCAGCAGCCGCGGUAAUACGGAGGAUCCGAGCGUUAUCCGGAUUUAUUGGGUUUAAAGGGCGCGUAGGUGGAUUGUUAAGUCAGUUGUGAAAGUUUGCGGCUCAACCGUAAAAUUGCAGUUGAAACUGGCAGUCGUGAGUACAGUAGAGGUGGGCGGAAGUCGUGGUGUAGCGGUGAAAUGCUUAGAUAUCACGAAGAACUCCGAUUGCGAAGGCAGCUCACUGGACUGCAACUGACACUGAGGCUCGAAAGUGUGGGUAUCAAACAGGAUUAGAUACCCCAGUAGUC
rnacentral:rRNA from 1 species